ensembl:lncRNA
UCCGUUUAUUGUCUCAUGUAUAGAUCCAAUUAAAAAUAAUUAACAUUUAUUUUUGAGAGAGAGAGAGAGAGAGAGAGAGAGAGAGAGAGAGACAGAGCAGGGUAGGGGCAGAGAGAGAUGGAGACACAGAAUCUGAAGCAGGCUCCAGGCUCUGAGCUGUCAGCACAGAGCCUGAUGCGGGACUUGAACCCAUAAACCAUGAGAUCAUGACCUGAGCUGACAUUGAACUGAGCCGCCCGGACACCCCUGGGAGACACCUUCUGAGGAGGUGACGUUUGUGCUGAGAGCUGUGCCAACAUCUGGGCCGUGUGGGCGUUCAUUUGAGGAGGGCCAGGUGGCUCUGCCCCACACAGUCGUUCAGGGCUGAGCGGACACACAGCGUCGAGGGCGUCCUGGACCUCCAUGUCCAGCCCCUGCACACAGGGAGACUAGAGAAGGCUCCUCUAUUUCUGCCUUGACCCAGGAGCGACCCCCUCCACUUUUGUCCCCAUGCCUCGGCGAGCUGGCCACGUGGCCUCUGGGGCACAAGGCAGGCCCAGAGGUCAAGUCCCUGGGCUGCUGCAGCGUCAUGUUGUGGACGGGGAGCAUGAUUCUUGGGCGGCCUGCCCCAGAGCAGGGGGGACGCGAUGGCUGGCAGCGGGCAGGGUGGCUGGCAGGAAGCUCACACGACACCGUCUGAGAAGGGGCCACCCUGAGGAGGGGACAUCGGAGGAGACCCUGCAUGAAUCGAGUCACCGUAGAAAUAGGUUGCAAGGCCGGAGAGAGGAGGUGGGCCAUCGGGGCUCCUCCGGACCGGAAGUGUUGGGGUUUGCUCCAGCGGCUGGCUGUCAGGAAGGACGCCGGACGCUGUGCUGGCCACUGGCUGGGCCUCGCUGCUUGUUCUCCAUCUCCAGGUAGAACGUAAGUUCCGGGAGAUGAGGACCUGAAUGUCGUCCCCCCGCCCGGCACACAAAAGAAACCCAAAUGUUUUUGUUGAAACGAAUGACAGAUGGAUGCUUCCAUGAUAAACUCUUUUACUGUCAUUUUCCAAACGUGAAACAGGCCAUGGUAUGAUUUUUGACACGUCGCACACCCUCUCCCGGCCUGGCUCCUGUCAUCUCAAACACCCGCUGUGAUGUCACAAUGGCUCCCCGAUCUGUGCUGUCACAAUGGCCACCCACCUGCCUUGAUCAAGGGCAGAGUCACCAGGGAGGUGAGGGCAGGCGUGGGGGGUAUCACACCCCCGGCUGCCUCAGGGGAGGGUGGAGCCAGGCAAUUCCGGGGACAUUCGGGGUGAUUUGGCAGUGAGGGGACUCCUUGGCAAUGUGCCCCUGCACUUCCAGUCCUGCAGCCGCGAUCUGUCCUGCAGAAGUGCUCACACGGGCAUCGAGGGUGUGGGUUGCAGGGAGAAAUGGCAAUAGCUUAAAAUGGCCAGUGAGUUGCUACAUCCGGGUUGCAGAGCGGCUCACGGCCAUUCAGAAGAGCACUGUAGGGUGAGCUUGACGCAGAAGGAAGUCCAGGGGGUAUGGACAACGACCCCAUUACUGGAAUGUGGGGCGUCAUCUCCUGUCCCCAGGAAAUUAUAAAAUAAGUGUUCGCACAGGGGUAGGGAAUGGUCCAGAAUAUAAUCCAUUGACUUAGCCGUGGGGGGUGGAAUUAUGUAAGUUUCACUUUCUAGUUUAUCUGUUUUUUUCUGUAUUGUGUAGACUUUUUGAACCCAAGGGCAUUGCUGAAGGUUGAGUCAUUUCCAUGAUCAGAACAAAUAAUGAGAAAUAGCCGCUUCCAUAUUAUUGAGCAGUUGUUACGAUCCCAUUUAGCUGUGAGGUUAUUUAUCUGUUUUCUUUAACCAACUUUUUCUGUUGGGAGAAGUUGGAACGUCACUCUCACCCAGGUUUCCCCACCGUUGGCAAUUUAUUUUAUCAUUAAAAAAAUUUUUUUAAUUGUAUUAUUGUUUUUUAAGGUUUAUUUUUGAGAGAGAGAGACAGAGUGUGUGCAGGGGAGGGACAGAGAGGAGAGAGGGAGACAAAGAAUCAGAAUCAGGCUCCAGGCUCUGAGCUGACAGCUCAGAUUGGGGAUUGAACUUGUGAACCACUGGAUCACGACCUGAGCCGAAGUUGGACGCUUAACCAACUGAGCCCCCCAGGCGCCCCUGGGAUCUUUCCCUAUAAGGACACUAAUCCCAUUUGUGGGAUUUCUUCCCUCAUGACCUCGUCACCUGCCAAAGACCCCCCCCCCACUCCUACCAACAUCACUUUGGGGGUAGGUUAAUUGGGAUGGGGCGCACAGACAAUCUAUUACAAAUAAAGCUAC